rnacentral:lncRNA from 1 species
GAAAGACCAACAGAAAACCAAAAUGACUGACAGUGGGCAUUUACUUAACUUUUUAUUAUUAUUAUUAUUUCCACAGAAUGUGCAAGUCUCACAAUCAAAGAAGCAUAAUUGCAAGAUCUUAAAACAUUGAAAUUUAAACCUUGUAAUGCAGUUUUUGCAGAUAUCAUUUCACAAAUGCUGUUGAAAUCCCAGUCAUGUCCUGACUUGUGCCAGAAAGCACUUUACAAAAUUUUGCCUGUGGCUCUGGCUCUUUGGUUGCUUGUUUUGUUUUGGGAUAUGCUCGUCUAUUUUUGGAAAAACUGUUACAAAGGAAGCCGUGAGAUGCAGCAGAAACAAUCGAAUGCAGUGAGCUCCACCCUGGGUCUGCCUCCACCCGGACCGUCUGACUUAAGCAGCAGCAUAAAAAAGAACUGCCUGGACUAG